AUGAUAUUCACACGUCCCGUGUCACUUAUGUAUAUAUAUAUAUAUAUGUAUAUAUAUAUAUAUAUAUAUAUAUAUAUAUAUAUAUAUAUAUAUAUACAUAUAUAUACAUAAGUGACACGGGACGUGUGAAUAUCAU